AUUGAACGCUGGCGGCAUGCUUUACACAUGCAAGUCGAACGGUAACAGGCCGCAAGGUGCUGACGAGUGGCGAACGGGUGAGUAAUGCAUCGGAACGUGCCCAGUCGUGGGGGAUAACGCAGCGAAAGCUGUGCGAAUACCGAAUACGAUCUGUGGAUGAAAGCGGGGGACCUUCGGGCCUCGCGCGAUUGGAGCGGCCGAUGUCAGUUUAGGUAGUUGGUUGGGUAAAGGCUCACCAAGCCGACGAUCUGUAGCUGGUCUGAGAGGACGACCAGCCACACUGGGACUGAGACACGGCCCAGACUCCUACGGGAGGCAGCAGUGGGGAAUUUUGGACAAUGGGCGCAAGCCUGAUCCAGCAAUGCCGCGUGCAGGAAGAAGGCCUUCGGGUUGUAAACUGCUUUUGUACGGAGCGAAAAGGCUCCCUCUAAUACAGGGGGCUCAUGACGGUACCGUAAGAAUAAGCACCGGCUAACUACGUGCCAGCAGCCGCCGUAAUAC
rnacentral:rRNA from 1 species